rnacentral:miRNA from 1 species
AAAUUUCAAAUCAUUUUGACA